rnacentral:misc_RNA from 1 species
UUUCUUCUGUCAACUGUUGGUUGUGAAAUUUCUUUGGAAAAUGCCAAGCGCCAACUGAAGAUUUUGUUGCGAAUUUUAUUAUUAAAUCAUAAUUAUGGGUGAUGUUUUCACAAACAAUUUAUGGGAGAACUGGGAGAAAAGUGGUCGGCAAGAAUUCAUUCGAGCAUGUGAAACCUUGCUGAAAAAUGACUCUGAUAAUUCGAUCUUUGACCAUACGAACAGAAUGCCUACGAUCACCAGCUAUGUGCUUCAAUUAAUUGAUAAAGGCAUUAAAGGAGUUUUGAAAAAGGAGGCUGUAAUACUUGCAUUGCAAGAGCUUGUGUCAAUUCACGCAGAUGUAGCAUCUGUAAUCUGCGACGUGUUAAAUGUGGCCGAUGGAAUCACAUCGCAAAUUGAUAGCGACGAUGCGAAAGAUCGCGCGAACUUUUGUAGCAUUGUUAAAGAUUGCGAAAAGUUUCUUUCAGAGAAACUUCUAAAGGAAAGAUUGGAAAUUGAAACUUUACAAGAAGUGGGCAUUUUAAAGAACCGCACGUUUUACUCAAAGUUUAUCAAAAUCAAAACUAAACUCUAUUACAAGCAAAGAAAGUUCAAUUUGUUUAGAGAAGAGUGCGAAGGAUUUGCCAAGUUGCAAACUGAAUUGAAUAAGGAAUUCAAUGAAAACACUAGCCCAGCUGCCCUUAUUGAUAUAGUGCAUUCCCUAAUCGGAUGUUUUAAUUUGGAUCCAAACAGAGUCCUGGACAUAAUCCUCGAAAGCUUCGAAAACAAAACGAAAGAUGCCCACAUUUUUGUUCCCCUCAUUGAAUUAUACAUUAAGGAUCCCAGUAUAAUAAGCGAGGUGUUGUCUACCAAAUUGGCUUUUCUGAAGAACACCGGAGAAGACAUCCCGGCAUCAUUUUUCCUAUUGGUUGCUUAUUUGCUGCAGCAUUCUUUAAUAAGUUUGGACCACAUCUACUCCAAGCUGAGUCCCGACGAAAAGGAAAUCAAGAAACAUUGUGAAAAAGCGUUGAAAGAUGCGGCGGAAUAUGUUCGCAAAUUGCAAAUAAUCUCGAUAAAUAACAAGGAAAAGGAAGACGACAAGGACGACGCAGAGUCUGUUGAGGAUCUUUUUGUUGGAAAUGAAAAACUGCGGCUUUGUGAAGCUUUGCUUUCUAUUGGAGACUGGGGGAACGCCAGAACCCUUAUUAACUUGUUACCGAAACACUUUGCCAUUGGAUUCCAGCCAAUAGCUUUAUCUCUAUGCAACUUGUUGCAUGCCCUUAUUGAACCAGUCUAUUCCUUAAACUGUGCUUUGGGCCCCAAUAUCAACCGUCAGCCGGUUCGGCCUUAUUCAAACCCUCUUGCUCCAAAAGCAGCCCUAACUUUUAUUGACUUGAAGGAAACGGUAUUGCCAAUGUUGAUCUGUUUAGGGUCGUCGCUUCAUUAUGACUCGGUUCUAUUAAGUAAAACCAUCAGGUUGUUUAGGGCAGUGCUUCAAGAAAUGGGUGUUGAAGCAGGAAAAGCGUUUACGCCUCGUGAAGAUGAUGGUUUAUACUUUGAAAUAAUUUCCAUUCUUGAUGAGACCAUACUGCCAUCGCUGUCUUAUUUGGAUUGCAACUGUUGCAUUGCUGAAGAGAUUUGGAAUUUAGUCAAGUUUUAUCCGUAUCAAAUUAGGUAUUGCCUGUAUGCUAGAUGGAAAAAUGAUACGUAUUCUGCCUAUCCGCCACUGAUGAAAAAGCGGGGUGAUGCCGAGAAGCAAAUUAAAAAUAUAAUGAAGCGAGUGAGCAAGGAGAACGUAAAGCCAGUGGGACGGUUGAUUGGAAAAUUAACUCAUUGUUCACCAGGAUUUUUAUUUGACUAUGUCCUGUUGCAAAUUCAGGUUUACAGUAACUUGAUAAAUCCGGUGGUCGAUUCGUUGAAAUAUUUGACGAAUCUAUCAUAUGAUGUUCUCGGUUAUUGUGUAAUUGAAAAUCUGUGCCUGGCCGAUAAGAAAAGAGUCAAACAUGACAGUACUUCGAUUUCGAUGUGGUUGCAAAGCUUAUCUGUAUUCUCUGGAGCUGUAUACAAAAAAUAUUCCAUCGAAUUAACGGGAUUGUUGCAAUAUGUGGCAAAUCAACUGAAAGCCCAAAAAAGCUUGGAUUUGUUUAUAUUGAAAGAAGUAGUCCAAAAGAUGGCUGGAGUGGAACCAAACGAAGAUUCUACAAUGGAGCAGUUGUACGCGAUGUCCGGCGGUGAAAUGCUGAAAGGAGAGGCUGGAUACUUCAGUCAAAUUCGCAACACUAAGAGAUCAUCCCUGCGACUCAAAGAAGCCAUGAACGAAAACGACUUGGCUGUAGCGCUGUGUUUGCUGAUGGCUCAACAGAAUUACUGCGUUGUUUAUAGGGAGACGCAAAAAAGUCAUCUUAAGUUGGUGGGCAAGCUAUCCGAUCAAUGCCAAGACACUUUGGUGCAAUUUGGAACAUUUUUGGGCUCGACACUGACGGUGGAAGAGUACAUUAACAAACUGCCAACGAUUCAGUGUAUGCUGCUAAAUUACCAUAUACCCACAGAAGUCGCUUUUUUCUUGGCGAGGCCUAUGUUCAAUCAUUCGAUAAAUCAAAAAUACGAUCAGCUGCGUAAGGCAGAUCCAAACUAUAAGAAAAUGUCCAGUUCUAUUAAAAUUCAGAAAUAUUAUGAUGCAGUCAAAGAAGUAAUGCAACCAGUGCACAGCUCGUUGUUGCCGUUACAUUCUCCAAAAACCUGGGAAGAUAUCAGUCCUCAGUUUUUAGCUACGUUUUGGUCGCUAACCAUGUACGACUUGUGUGUACCCGAAGAUAUUUACCAACAGGUUAUUAAUAAGGCCAAACAGCAGUCAAUUUCGGCCGUAGAAAGUCUUGGAGCUAAAGGGAAGAAAGAACAAGAGCGUCAUCUUUCCUUAGUGGAGAAACUGAUGGACGAAAAAAAGAAACAGUCCGAGCAUGUGGAAAAGGUCCUUUUCAGAUUGAAACAGGAGAAAAGCAGUUGGUUUCUGCUAAGAGCCGGAAAGUCUGCGAAAACUGAGUCAAUAACCAGAUUUUUGCAGCUUUGCCUGUUUCCCAGAUGUACAUUCACUCAGAUCGACGCGGUGUAUUGCGCAAAAUUUGUACACACCAUCCACAUGUUGAAAACGGAAAACUUUUCUACUCUUCUUUGCUAUGAUCGGUUGUUUUGUGAUGUUACUUAUUCUAUAAUAUCGUGCACUGAAAAUGAGGCGUUGAGGUAUGGCCGAUUUUUGUUUGCCAUGCUGGAAACCGUGAUGAAAUGGCACAAAUCUAAGGAAACCUUCGAGAAGGAGUGUUCUAAUUAUCCCGGUUUUAUGACCAAAUAUAGAGUGAGCAAUCAUACCGCUGAUAGUUCAGACAAUGUGGGAUUCGAAAACUAUAGACAUGUCUGCCAUAAGUGGCAUUAUAAAUUAGCCAAGGCGGUCGUAACGUGCCUGGAGUCUAAGGAUUACGUACAAAUCAGAAAUUCGUUGAUCAUUUUAAUAAAAAUCAUUCCCUUCUUCCCUGUACUGAUCAAAUUGGCUCAAUUUCUCGAAAAAAGAAUAGAAAAAGUGAGGGAUGAAGAAAAGAACAAUAGACAAGACUUAUUUACAUUGGCAAUUAGCUACUUAGGGCAACUAAAGCAAAGACUGACCAGCGGUCAAAUGAUGAAGGAAGGGGAUUUUCAUAUUCCUGUCGAGAAAGAUAAGGUGGUAAAACCCAGUCCGGAAGCGCCAGCUGCAAAUGGCAAGGACCUGAACAGGCAUAAUGGUGAACCAAAAGAAAAAGUGUUCAUGCAACAAGAGAAAAAACCAGCGCGUGUAUCUUCAGAAGACGGCAAAUUGCAAAGAGCAGCUUCAAGCAGUACAGAUCAAAUUGCUGGAGAUAAGGAAAGACGCGAAGACAAGCCUACUAGGGACGAUCAAAAAGAUAAAUAUUUGAAGAAGGAAGAGGCAAAACGAAAUUUAAUUGAAUUAGAAAGAGAUGUGAAGAGAAACCGCAUAGAUGAUAGAGAACUGGAAGACAGAAAUAAAAGAUCUGUCGAUCCAAAGGAAGACAGAUACAUUGAAAUUGUAAGCCCAAAGGAAGAGCGGUAUUCGAUUGAAAGACAAGAUCGAUUUUAUGAAGAGCGAAGUAGUUACUAUCAUAAAGAUAUCAGUGAGCGGGAUAAUUCGGGUUCUUCAACAACAAUGAGCAAGCAUGUCUCCGAUCCAGAACCUGAGAGAGAUAUUAAAAGAAGAAAAGUGGAUGUUGGGUCCGCCAAGGUUAGUAUCGGAAAAAGGUAGCAUCGGUACACGUUUCAGAUUCAAUCCGGGAGAUUGGGCUGCUAACCACUCAAUAAGUAGUAAUGAACGUGAGGACAACUAGAAGCCAAACCGCACAUCUCAAAUAUUGCAAACUCCAAUUUUUGAACGAUAAGACAAGACUAGCCUAGGAAUAAAUGGCAGACGCAAAACCUAAGAACGAAGGCUGACUGAAGAAGCAACCAGGAUAUUAGUUUAACCAGUAGUUGAACAAUGUAGAAACGAUGAUGUUCAUCCAUCCAUCCAUCCAUCAAGAUAUAAUUACUCUAUUGACCCGCACUCAGAGACGGAACUCAAGAGUUAAAAGCAUAGACGGAAGAACAUGUUUCUGAAUGAAGAACAUGAACUCGCUCUAAUAUUGAAAGAUCCCAUAUUUCGCCAGAGCUCAAUAACGUUUAAGAAAGGAAACUGCUUGAAGAAAAAUGAUCCGAGCUGAUUAAAACCCAUUGCGGCUUACAAAGAAAAUCUUAAAACCAACUGCAAAAGUCACAAAUUUAACGAAAAAGAAGAGAAGUAGUGCUUCGCGAUUCGAUGGAAAACUUUUCCAUGUCUCGCGCUAAGGAAUGAAAAUCAACUGGAAGCCGAUUUCGGGGCUACCGAGGGGCGCUUGGAAGUGUCUUUGUCAUGCGGUUUUAAAUUCGGCAGCGAUUGCUCGGGCUUGCAUUGUUUCUUUUAAAGUGUGUUGGAUCAGUCAGCCCAAUCUUCCACCACUGAGUGUCUCAAUAUGGCACGCUUCCAAGGCUGCCAAAUAUGGUGAGCGGAAAGUUGCUGCCGGUCAACUGCUUGAUUAUCCAGAAAAAAU